UUAGUCAGUGGCAACAACAAAGAAUAAAAAAGUCAAUUUUAUGUAUUACAUUCCCUGUGAAAUAUACAAAGCUAUUUGGCUACAACAAGAAGUUGGGAGCUUGCUUCAAACCAGCUAUGCGGCGGAAAAUAGGAGCAGGUGAGUUUCACUGGAAUUACACUCCCACAAAAUUACGUAGAGCUGCUUAUCUCCUGUAUGAAAUCCACUGGGGAAGACGCAAGAUCUUGAGAAACUGGUGUAGAAACGUCAAGAAUGCCCAUGUUGAAAAAGUCUUUUUGAAAAAUGUCUUCGGGGAGAUUAACAGCUGGACAAACAGACCAGACCACAUCAUUUGGUUUGUCUCUUGGACUCCUUGUGGUGUAUGUGCCCAGCAUAUAAUUAAUUUCUUGAAGGAUCAUCCACAUCUGACGCUGGAGAUACGAGCGGCGCGGGUGUAUAGGCCUCGUGACCGGCGUAACAAGAAAGGCCUCAAGGCCUUAGUUAAUAUCCGAGAUCUCUAUCAUAGAUCUAGAGUCCAGAUAUCUAUCAUGGAUCUGGGUGAUUAUCAAUAUUGUUGGGGAACUUUUGUGGCUCAGCCAAGGAUGAACUAUUUGCCACCGUGGUAUUUCUGGUACUGGAGACAUCAUCAUUCCCAAAAACUGGCCUCAAUCCUUUACUUCUGAGUUGUCCCAGAUACUGUGUGUAAUAUUUCGAACACAGGAAUGCUUACCAACAGAAGCUUUAUUCAGAAUAGCCUUAAGAAGCUCGACUGUAAUAUUGUGGCCUGAGCAGCAGGACUCCACAAGAACCCAGAAGCGACAAACUCGAAAUAUGCAACAUCCAAAGUGCAUAAAACAUCAUCUGAAUGGA